rnacentral:rRNA from 1 species
UGUGGUAACGGCAUACCAAGGCAACGAUGAUUCGGGGUCCUGAGAGGGAGAUCCCCCACACUGGUACUGAGACACGGMCCAGACUCCUACGGGAGGCAGCAGUGAGGAAUAUUGGUCAAUGGAGGCAACUCUGAACCAGCCAUGCCGCGUGCAGGAUGACUGCCCUAUGGGUUGUAAACUGCUUUUAUACAGGAAGAAAUGUAUCUACGUGUAGAUAUUYGACGGUACUGUAGGAAUAAGGAUCGGCUAACUCCGUGCCAGCAGCCGCGGUAAUACGGAGGAUCCGAGCGUUAUCCGGAAUUAUUGGGUUUAAAGGGUUCGUAGGCGGCCUUAUAAGUCAGGGGUGAAAUCUSUCAGCUCAACUGAGAACUUGCCUUUGAUACUGUAUGGCUUGAAUAAUAUUGAAGUAACUAGAAUAUGUAGUGUAGCGGUGAAAUGCAUAGAUAUUACAUGGAAUACCAAUUGCGAAGGCAGGUUACUAAUUAUUUAUUGACGCUGAUGAACGAAAGCGUGGGUAGCGAACAGGAUUAGAUACCCUGG